rnacentral:rRNA from 1 species
ACCCGGGUUGCGGACAGUGUCUGGUGGGUAGUUUGACUGGGGCGGUCUCCUCCUAAAGAGUAACGGAGGAGCACGAAGGUUGGCUAAUCCUGGUCGGACAUCAGGAGGUUAGUGCAAUGGCAUAAGCCAGCUUGACUGCGAGCGUGACGGCGCGAGCAGGUGCGAAAGCAGGUCAUAGUGAUCCGGUGGUUCUGAAUGGAAGGGCCAUCGCUCAACGGAUAAAAGGUACUCCGGGGAUAACAGGCUGAUACCGCCCAAGAGUUCAUAUCGACGGCGGUGUUUGGCACCUCGAUGUCGGCUCAUCACAUCCUGGGGCUGAAGUAGGUUCCAAGGGUAUGGCUGUUCGCCAUUUAAAGUGGUACGCGAGCUGGGUUUAGAACGUCGUGAGACAGUUCGGUCCCUAUCUGCCGUGGGCGCUGGAGAACUGAGGGGGGCUGCUCCUAGUACGAGAGGACCGGAGUGGACGCAUCACUGGUGUUCGGGUUGUCAUGCCAAUGGCACUGCCCGGUAGCUAAAUGCGGAAGAGAUAAGUGCUGAAAGCAUCUAAGCACGAAACUUGCCCCGAGAUGAGUUCUCCCUGAGACUUAGAGUCUCCUGAAGGAACGUUGAAGACGACGACGUUGAUAGGCCGGGUGUGUAAGCGCAGCGAUGCGUUGAGCUAACCGGUACUAAUGAACCGUGAGGCUUAACCUUACAACGCCGAAGCUGUU